rnacentral:rRNA from 1 species
UACGGGGGGGGCUAGCGUUACUCGGUCUUAUUAGGCGUAAAGGGUAUGUAGGUGGUAUACCAAGUUAAAUUAUAAAUCUUUUUGGCUAACCUAAAAGCUUAAUUUAAUACUGGUAAACUAGAGUUUAAAAGAGGGGUACAGUACUUCUAGUUUAGGGGUAAAAUCUCUUAGGGAUUGGAAGGACUAUCGAAGGCGGAAGCAGUAAUCCAUUUUAAUACUGACACUGAAAUACGUGGGUUUGGUGAAUCAAUGGG